rnacentral:lncRNA from 1 species
AGUCCAAAUCAAACAUAGGUAGAAAAUCGGUGAAAUAACAAAGACAAUGCAACUUAUCAACUACGUGUAUCAAAGUCGAACUUUGGAUGAUUAACACAUGCAAUAUCAACUACUUGUAUCAACUUCAUAUGAUAAUGGAAAAAUGCACCGAAAAUCUUAAAGUAUAAAGAACAUAAUACUCACGGCAUAAGAAAACCUAAAUCAUUGAAUUAAAAAUUGAAAAACUUUAAUUACAAAACAUGGUUACAAAAGUACUUCUAUCUCAUAGACAAGAAUCGAAGCAUACUUAAGACAAAUACCUAAAGCAAACAUAAACGAAAACAAACACAUAGCAAUCCGAAAAUAGAAGAUGAAAUACACUCUCAAAAUAUCCCUACUUGUUCUAUUCUUCGAGUGCGCGGAGUCCUAGGCUACUUGCUUUGGACGAAUGCUGAAGGUGGGAUCGGAUUGUGGUGUUUGGAGGUUGAUGGAGUUUCGGCAAAGGCUUUGGUGUUAUUUGCACGGGUUGAUGAUCAUCUUCUGUCCUUGAAGUCGUGCUUUAUAUAGAGGAAAAACCCUAGAGAAGUCGGCCACAAAGCCUAAACCAAAUUGGUUUAGGAUUCCUAGUUUUUCUCCCUUUCGGCAGAAUGACCUCCGUCUGAUGAUUGCGUCAUAACUCCCUCUAGAAAACAGAUAUUGAGGUGAUUCCAAUUGAUUUGGAAACUAGACUCCCGUAGCUUUCUAUCCAUAUUUGGCACGUUUUCUGAUUCAUUGUGAGCUGUCCUGGAGAGUCCGUUGAAGUUGACAGACGUGCACAGGAAUUCUCCCGAUUUAAUCCGGAUUUUCAAGGGCUUGGAUAUUCUUGAAAUUCUGCCGAAUUUAGAUCUUCUUCUCCAUAUUGGACUUGGUUUGGAUCUCUCCUUCAUGGACUAGGCUUCGAGGAAAGAUGGAAUCUUGAUCAAGACAGGAAUCCUGAGUAAACAAGGAGUUCCAACACUUAGCACAAUUUCAACACCAAAUUCUUCAAUUCCGAAAUUACUAU